rnacentral:tRNA from 1 species
UUAAUUGAAGCCAAAAAGAGGCAUAUCACUGUUAAUGAUACUACUGAAGUACUCUUCCAAUUAAG